AACGAACGCUGGCGGCAUGCCUAACACAUGCAAGUCGAACGAUUGCCUUCGGGUGUUAGUGGCGCACGGGUGCGUAACGCGUGGGAAUCUGCCCUUAGGUUCGGAAUAACAGCUGGAAACGGCUGCUAAUACCGGAUGAUAUCGCGAGAUCAAAGAUUUAUCGCCUGAGGAUGAGCCCGCGUUGGAUUGGGUAGUUGGUGGGGUAAAGGCCUACCCAGCCGACGAUCCAUAGCUGGUCUGAGCGGAUGAUCAGCCACACUGGGACUGAGACACGGCCCAGACUCCUACGGGGGGCAGGAGUGGGGAAUAUUGGACAAUGGACGCAAGCCUGAUCCAGCAAUGCCGCGUGAGUGAUGAAGGCCCUAGGGUUGUAAAGCUCUUUUACCCGGGAAGAUAAUGACGGUACCGGGAGAAUAAGCCCCGGCCAACUCCGUG
rnacentral:rRNA from 1 species